GUUCAGUAAUGUAUAACUAAUAUCUGUAAAUUUCUUACUCUUGUUAAGAAACCUGGGAUACUCUUCAUGAAAUGUUGAAUCAAGAGAAAGAUGGAGAUCAGACUAAGGACUGAAUGGAUCUCAGCUAAAUUGGAAGAGAGCUGAGCUGCCAGGUGUUGGAGUAGCUGAUUCAAGCAACAAGCCAAGAAGGAAAGAGAUAAGUCUUUAAUCUCUUAUUAUGAUGAUGUAAGAGGCUGCAACUUGGGAAAAUAUGGAUCCCCUGUCUUUUUCCCUGUGGAGUUUUGCACCUGUCUAGAGUCAGAAGAAUUGAUGCAGAUGUGGGUGUCAUCUCACUAUUGAGGAACUCUCUAGAAAAGGGUUCAGCAGUUUUAUGGACCCUGGAAUCUGUCCCUUGAGAGAGAGGACUAGGAAUGCAAAAGUACCGAGUACUGCGUUACAGUGAGAGAAAAGAUCUUCAAGAUUUCUCCCUCCUCCCCCCACAUAAGAAGUUCCUGAAGAGGAUCUUUACUGAAGGUCUCAAUUAAAGACACCUGAGAAUGAAGGCAUUUAAACUAGGAACAUAUAUGUAGAAGAGCAUAACCAGCCAAGAUUACUUGAGUCCUUAACUGCAUUUCCCUUCAGACACUGAAAUGCACUGGCUGUGCCCAGUGUUUGUUGUAGGAAGGCCACUUUCUUCAUGAAACCUGCCCAGUAAAACUUUUGUAACUGCCUAUAAUCAGUCCUGAAAAAUUAUACGUAGACUUUUAGUCAAGUGCCAGACUCUUCAGUUAUGUUUCUGUACAUCUGAAGUACAAAGUUGAUUUUACUGUCCUAAGAUCAAAAAUUCAGCUGACUUGUGUUCCUUUUGAAAAGAUUUGGAGAUAAUCUGUUUGUCUUUC